rnacentral:rRNA from 1 species
GCCAGUACAGGAUGGACCCGCGUCUGAUUAGCUAGUUGGUAAGGUAACGGCUUACCAAGGCGACGAUCAGUAGCCGACCUGAGAGGGUGAUCGGCCACAUUGGAACUGAGACACGGUCCAAACUCCUACGGGAGGCAGCAGUGGGGAAUAUUGCACAAUGGGCGAAAGCCUGAUGCAGCAACGCCGCGUGAGUGAUGAAGGCCUUCGGGUCGUAAAACUCUGUCCUCAAGGAAGAUAAUGACGGUACUUGAGGAGGAAGCCCCGGCUAACUACGUGCCAGCAGCCGCGGUAAUACGUAGGGGGCUAGCGUUAUCCGGAUUUACUGGGCGUAAAGGGUGCGUAGGCGGUCUUUCAAGUCAGGAGUGAAAGGCUACGGCUCAACCGUAGUAAGCUCUUGAAACUGGGAGACUUGAGUGCAGGAGAGGAGAGUGGAAUUCCUAGUGUAGCGGUGAAAUGCGUAGAUAUUAGGAGGAACACCAGUUGCGAAGGCGGCUCUCUGGACUGUAACUGACGCUGAGGCACGAAAGCGUGGGGAGCAAACAGGAUUAGAUACCCUGGUAGUCCACGCUGUAAACGAUGAGUAC